AGAAUACAACGCGUGGCGGCGGUGACCUAACACAUGACAAGUCGAACGGAGAAAGGGGUAGCAAUACCCUGAGUAAAGUGGCGCACGGGUGAGUAACACGUGACUAACCUACCCUUGAGUGGGGGAUAACUGAGGGAAACCUUAGCUAAUACCGCAUAAUACCCACGGGUCAAAGGAGCAAUUCGCUCGAGGAGGGGGUCGCGGCCGAUUAGUUAGUUGGCGGGGUAAUGGCCCACCAAGACGAUGAUCGGUAU
rnacentral:rRNA from 1 species